rnacentral:lncRNA from 1 species
CCGCAGUUCGCACUGGGAAACCAGGCAAUCGGCCCAAAUUCGAAUGCUCUCCGGGCACCACUCGGGAGGCGCGGCCCCAGGACCCCCGCCGAUCUCCGGGCCGCCGGCUCUCCAAGUCGGCCCGGGACCCAGGGAAGAAGACAGGGACAGGAAGGGACACCUAACUCUGUCCCCCUAGCGCUCACCUGCCUCCACUGUUCCCGACAGAGGCCAAGGCGGACGGCCGACCCGGGACACGCAGAACCGCGGGAGACGUGGGCAGUCUCGCCGCGCCGCCACCGCGACUCCCGGUCCGCUUCAGCCACCCGUCAAGCACUCACCCCACUUCUCCGAGCCUCAGGCCGCACCCCUACCGAGGCCGCUGAAGCUCCGGCUGAGGACCUAAUUUCUCCAUUGUGGGGACCGGCAGGCCAGGACGUGCGAGGAGACAGAGAAAAGGGACAAGACCGACACCACGGUCCCUCCUUCACGGCUUCCUCAAACCCCCGCGGAGCUGACACAUCAACAAAGAUGGCGGCGACGCUGAAGCCGGCCCCACUACAGCUGAAGAAAGCGCUCCUUGGAUAUAAGCCCACCUCACCUUUUGACGCUUCUCGUAUUAGUCAGGGGCAUAAAGCAAUAAAAGAGAAUUCGGAAUUUUGUGACUUCCCAGCUCUGAUGCGGAAACCCUGCACCUGACGUAGGAGGAAUCAGCAGGAACAGCCUACCUGCUCGUCGACAAUUCAUCUCUGAGAGAGAUUCUGGGGGUUUCCAUAACGCCGCGUUCGUGUGUACAGCGUGGCACUCAUUGCCAUUGUUUAAUAAUAAACUGUUGGUGCGUUCAUCUCUGGCACCAGGCUGUGAGCGCCUUGAGUGCGGGAAGUUCCCUAUCCCGCCUGCGGGAUGUCCUUAUAGGCAGCGUGGGGAGUGACAUGCCUGAGCUGCUCAAUAAUUAGCAACAAAAAGUGUAUUGGGGGGGAAGGGGGAAGUGUAUUGAAUACAGUUGCUUAAACGGGUCCAGGUAAGGUGAACAGUUUCAGUCCGGGGAGGUUCGGAAACCUUCUGUCCAGUGAGGUGAUGUUCUUUGGUUUAGGACUCCUUAUUCACGACUUAGGAGUGAAAAUAGUUAAUUCUGACAAGUUGUCGAAUUGAGAGUUUGUAAAGCAAUGCUAGUUCCUGUUCUGUUAAGCUUCUUUGAUAACUGCUGGGGGUGGAAACACUAAAAAAUUCAACAUCGUGUAAUUCUGUUCCUCUUUCCUUUUAACAGGAAAUAGCACCUCCUUCCUUAAAUGAAAACAGUGCAGUGAAACACACAUUGCAGUGUAAGUGUUUUAACAGUGAAGAAAUGAUUUAGCUUUAAAACAGUCAAUCAAACAUUCCUAGUGAGAUAUAUUAUUUCAAGGGAAAAUAAAAAUUUAAGCAUUUUUCACAACUCAUGGUCAGUAGUAACAUUCAUAUUGUUUCUGAAAUAUACAUAUUAAUAAUACUAAGC